GACGAACGCUGGCGGCGUGCCUAAUACAUGCAAGUAGAACGCACAGUUUAUACCGUAGCUUGCUACACCAUAGACUGUGAGUUGCGAACGGGUGAGUAACGCGUAGGUAACCUGCCUGGUAGCGGGGGAUAACUAUUGGAAACGAUAGCUAAUACCGCAUAAUAUUGAUUAUUGCAUGAUAAUUGAUUGAAAGAUGCUAUUGCAUCACUACCAGAUGGACCUGCGUUGUAUUAGCUAGUAGGUGAGGUAACGGCUCACCUAGGCGACGAUACAUAGCCGACCUGAGAGGGUGAUCGGCCACACUGGGACUGAGACACGGCCCAGACUCCUACGGGAGGCAGCAGGAGGGAAUCUUCGGCAAUGGACGAAAGUCUGACCGAGUAACGCCGCGUGAGUGAAGAAGGUUUUCGGAUCGUAAAGCUCUGUUGUAAGAGAAGAACGGGUGUGAGAGUGGAAAGUUCACACUGUGACGGUAGCUUACCAGAAAGGGACGGCUAACUACGUG
rnacentral:rRNA from 1 species